GCUGUGGAUAGGGGUGAAAGGCUAAAACAAAUCCGGAAAUAGCUGGUUCUCCCCGAAAACUAUUUAGGUAGUGCGUCGUACGGACACUUGCGGGGGUAGAGCACUGUAAUCGUUGGGGGGGUCAUUGCGAUCUACCCCGCGAUAGCAAACUCCGAAUACCGCAAAGUGAUAUACGGCAGACAGACAUCGGGUGCUAACGUCCGGUGUCAAGAGGGAAACAACCCAGACCGCCAGCUAAGGUCCCAAAUGCAUGGCUAAGUGGCAAACGAGGUGGAAGGCAUAGACAGCUAGGAGGUUGGCUUAGAAGCAGCCAUCCUUUAAAAGAAAAGCGUAAUAGCUCACUAGUCGAGUCGUCCUGCGCGGAAGAUGUAACGGGGCUCAAGCCAUGAACCGAAGCCUGCGGAGUGUGUCUUUGUACACGUGGUAGGGG
rnacentral:rRNA from 1 species